UGAAAUCUCAGAUUCAACAACAACAGCACAACCAGUGAACAUACUUAGACUCUAAAUCUCACAGCAGAUCAUAUCGAACAAUUUUUAAACUUCUUAAGAUCUUCACAAUAACUUUUCAAGAUUCUUGAAGUUGAGAUUGACCAUAAUAUGAUCAAAACAUUUCAAAGAACUGAAAGUUUGCACUGGAGCACAGAUGACACCAGGUUCCAGAUGCUAUCAUGAUGCCAAACUGACUUCACUGGGCAGAGGACCCCACCAAUGUGUCCUGGAGCCCCACUUCCCCAGAUCACUAUCCCACUAGGGAAAGAGAGAGACAGGCUGGGAGAUGCACCCCUUUUAUCCUAUGGUGUUGUCAAUAUUUCCAUUUUAUA